rnacentral:rRNA from 1 species
CUUGGUUUCUAUUUUGUUGGUUUCUAGAAGCCGAGUAAUGAUUAAUAGGAACAGUUGGGGCCGUUCAUAUUUCGCUGUCAGAGGUGAAAUUCUUAGAUUGGCGGAAGAUGAACUAACGCGAAAGCAUUCGGCAAGGAUGUUUUCAUUAAUCAAGAACGAAAGUUAGGGGAUCGAAGACGAUCAGAUACCGUCGUAGUCUUAACCAUAAACUAUGCCGACUAGGGAUUGGGAGAAGUUCAAUUUUUUUACUAUGACUCCCUCAGCACCUUAUGAGAAAUCACAAGUUUUUGGGCUCCGGGGGGAGUAUGGUCGCAAGUCUGAAACUUAAAGGAAUUGACGGAAGGGCACCACCAGGAGUGGAGCCUGCGGCUUAAUUUGACUCAACACGGG